UACGGGGGGAGCAAGCGUUGUUCGGAUUUACUGGGCGUAAAGGGCGCAUAGGCGGUCAGCACAAGUCAGUUGUGAAAUCUCCGGGCUUAACCCGGAAAGGUCAACUGAUACUGUGCGACUAGAGUGCGGAAGGGGCAACUGGAAUUCUCGGUGUAGCGGUGAAAUGCGUAGAUAUCGAGAGGAACACCUGCGGCGAAGGCGGGUUGCUGGGCCGACACUGACGCUGAAGCGCGAAAGCCAGGGGAGCGAACAGG
rnacentral:rRNA from 1 species